ACCAAGCUUCCAUGCCUACCAGCACUGGACUGAGCCACUUCUUCAUCCAGCCAGCAAAUCAAUGCAAACCCAAGGAUCCAUCUGAUAAAGUUGCAGAGGCAUCUUGGAUUUACAACACCCCCUGCCAGCCCCUCACUGAACCACACAUCAUCUGCAGCAGGAGGCGUUGGAUUACAUUUGGCUGGAGCGCCCGCAUCAACUCCAGUUGUCCCUGAAUUGGAACUGAUGGGCCUCACGUGCCACAGCCAACAGUUUGUCUUCACCCACUCCCCUCUCUGGAAUGAACCUUUCUCUGGGAAAACAAGAAACCUACGUGCCAUCCUGGGUGAGAGACAAACAGGAGCUGCAUCCCAGGAUCGCAUCCCCAGUAUGAUGGGUUCCCCACAGCAAGCCACACUUCAAGCAUCUCUGGAAAGACCUUCUGAACCACAGGACACAAAUGCUCCCUCUGGAGGACCGGAGCCUCUGUGUUCCUCUCAGCUCACAGGCAUCCAUUCUUCCUGCAUUCAGGCUCCUUGA
rnacentral:lncRNA from 1 species